rnacentral:rRNA from 1 species
GACGAACGCUGGCGGCGUGCUUAACACAUGCAAGUCGAACGGAAAGGCCCUGCUUUUGUGGGGUGCUCGAGUGGCGAACGGGUGAGUAACACGUGAGUAACCUGCCCUUGACUUUGGGAUAACUUCAGGAAACUGGGGCUAAUAUCGGAUAGGAGCUCCUGCUGCAUGGUGGGGGUUGGAAAGUUUCGGCGGUUGGGGAUGGACUCGCGGCUUAUCAGCUUGUUGGUGGGGUAGUGGCUUACCAAGGCUUUGACGGGUAGCCGGCCUGAGAGGGUGACCGGCCACAUUGGGCCUGAGAGACGGCGCAGACUCCUACGGGAGGCAGCAGUGGGGAAUAUUGCACAGUGGGCGGAAGCCUGAUGCAGCAACGCCGCGUGCGGGAUGACGGCCUUCGGGUUGUAAACCGCUUUCGCCUGUGACGAAGCGUGAGUGACGGUAAUGGGUAAAGAAGCACCGGCUAACUACGUG